rnacentral:lncRNA from 1 species
CCUAUCUUUGAGAUUUCUUGAGUUUACACUGUAUGAUGCCUUCGAAGAGACUUGUUAUGUGUUAAAUUUGAUUUUAUAUCAGUUAGCAUGGUUGUUGAGCACACACACGCACUAUACCAGUAAUAACAGUUUAAGACUUGAUGAUUGACUAGGAAAUUGUUGAUUGGUUUUGAUAUGAAGUAUUGUCGUGUUUGCUUGAUUGCUCUAAGGCCGAGUGAAUAGAUUUGAUUCUAUCAAAUACUGUUGGAUUCGUAGGCAUAUAGAUUAGUUGCAUUGCAUUGCAUUGCAUUGCAUUAUGUUGUGUUACUUGGGGACAAGCAACAGUUUAAGUUUGGGGGUAUUUGAUAAGUGGAUUUUAU